rnacentral:tRNA from 1 species
GCCUGGGUGGCUUAGUCGGUUGAGUGUCCGACUUCAGCUCGGGUCAUGAUCUCGCAGUUUGUGGGUUCAAGCCCCGCGUCAUGCU